UACGUAGGGUGCGAGCGUUGUCCGGAAUUAUUGGGCGUAAAGAGCUCGUAGGCGGUUUGUCGCGUCUGCUGUGAAAACUCGAGGCUCAACCUCGCGCCUGCAGUGGGUACGGGCAGACUAGAGUGCGGUAGGGGAGAUUGGAAUUCCUGGUGUAGCGGUGGAAUGCGCAGAUAUCAGGAGGAACACCGAUGGCGAAGGCAGAUCUCUGGGCCGUAACUGACGCUGAGGAGCGAAAGCAUGGGGAGCGAACAGG
rnacentral:rRNA from 1 species